UACGUAGGGUGCGAGCGUUAAUCGGAAUUACUGGGCGUAAAGCGUGCGCAGGCGGUUUUGUAAGCCAGAUGUGAAAUCCCCGGGCUUAACCUGGGAAUGGCAUUUGGGACUGCAAGGCUUGAGUGCGGCAGAGGAGACUGGAAUUCCUGGUGUAGCAGUGAAAUGCGUAGAUAUCAGGAGGAACACCAGAGGCGAAGGCAGCGAAUUGGCCCUAUAUUGACGCUCAGGCACGAAAGCAUGGGGAUCAAACAGG
rnacentral:rRNA from 1 species